AUCCAGGUUGCUUAGGUAGAUUGCUUAGAUUAAUUUUGAUUAAAAGAAAAAGAAAAUUAUCUUUUAAUUCAAGCACCGUCGCUUAAUUAGGAACAAUAAGCUACAUUGCUCAUCUCCUUCUCUCUCUCAUCUCUAUCUCAGUUCUCUCCCCACUUCCUGAAAUCAAUAGAUUUCGAUCUCCAUGUUCCUUCUGAUCCCAUUUAUGUUUCUCGUAUAACUUCUUGGGGUUUGAGGAGGUGGUCUUCUUAUUCCCUGGAGGAUGGCCGGAUUCUAACAAGUGAAUACUCUUCUUCUCUUCUCCUCUCUUGCCGUAUGUUUUGUGUAUUGAAUUGUCUCCUUUGAAGAACAUAAUAUUGGCAAAAGAAUCUUUAAAAAUUUUAAGCACCCUAAAAUAAGAGCCUUGCAAUGGAGGAGAAAAAAUGUCAAGUUGCUUAGCUAAGUCUCUUACUCAAAUUAUCUCCUUAAAUACUA